rnacentral:rRNA from 1 species
AAGCGGAGGAAAAGAAACUAACAAAGAUUGACAGAGUAAGGGCGACUGAAAUGUCAAGAGCUCAGCAUGUGAAUCAGCGCUCGCCUCUGUGUGAGCGCUGAAUUGUGGUCUUGGACUUUUGCGUUCAUUACGGGUUCGACCAUGUUUUUUGGAAUAAAAUAGCACAGAGGGUGAAACUCCCGUGCGUCGGACCUUGCGAAGCAAAUUGUCAACGAGUCGAGUUGUUUGGGAUUGCAGCUCAAAUUGUACGGUGGUAAAUUCCAUCUCAAGCUAAAUACUGGCAGGAAACCGAUAUUGAACAAGUACCGUGAGGGAAAGAUGCAAAGAACUUUGAAAAGAGAGUGAAAGAGUACCUGAAAUUGCUGAAAAGGAAGCGAACGAAGCUAGUGACAGCUGCGUCAUACUUUCCAACUUGCUUGCAAUUUGGACGCUGUGGCCAGCCCAGUUGGGCUUGAUUGCGACGGGUGAAAACAGGCUCUGAAAAGAUUCCAUUUUCAAUCGCCUUUGUUGCACCUGUYGCGUUUGAGCUGAACGAAAUAGAUUUGUUUGCCCCGUCUAGAAACACGGACCAAGGAGUCUAACAUAUGUGCGAGUACUGGGGCAACAAACCUCGGUGCGCAAUGAAAGUGUCAGAGGCUGGAAUGCKUGMGCAUUGCACAGUCCGCCGGCCUCCAUCCCUCGGGAAAAUGGUCUGAGUGUGAGCAUACAUGUUGGGACCCGAAAGAUGGUGAACUAUGCUUGAGUAGGGUGAAGCCAGGGGAAACUUUGGUGAAGGCUCGCAGCGAUUCUGACGUGCAAAUCGAUCGUCAAACUUGAGUAUAGGGGCGAAAGACUAAUCGAACUAUCUAGUAGCUGGUUCCCUCCGAAAUUYCCYUWAGGAUAGCUGCAAUCGAUCCAGCCAGUUUUGUCAGGUAAAGCGUGAAUUUAAAGGCANCNUGUUGGGACCCGAAAGAUGGUGAACUAUGCUUGAGUAGGGUGAAGCCAGGGGAAACUUUUG